rnacentral:lncRNA from 1 species
GUCUAUGAGGAUCCCGAGGAUCCACAAGUUUGAGUGCAUAACUGUUCCCACACUCUGAUGAGUCCAAUAGCAUAGUGAAAGAAGUGACCCUUAUGUUUUGUUUUGUAUUUUGUAGCCACUUCUAGCCUUAGUAUAUGUAUGUAUUGGAACUCAUAUGUAUUUUUAAGGGAUUUAUAAUAAUUUUGUACUGCUGCAUAAAUUUUAUCAUGCACUCAUUAUUCUAAAUCUGUAUCUGAUACCCAUUUGU